rnacentral:lncRNA from 1 species
CCUCCUUCUGCACCACCCUGACCCCAGCAUUUUUGAGAAUUGGCAGGGCAGAGCAACCUAGUGCUAGAAAAACCACAGGCUAACAGCUCACGGCUCCUGCCUCCACAUGCCGGCUGCCAGCUGGUGUGGGGUGCUGGGGCCAGUCCCUCCCCAGGCCGGGGCUGCAGUUUCCCUCUUCAGAUCCUAAGAUGCUGGAACAGACACUCUCUGAGCCCCUCCCUGCUCCAGCAUGAGGCACGCGCACACCUUCCGUCUUGCUUUCUGCAAAGGUGGCUGGAGGCAGAGUUCAGCUGCCAUUUGCAAGGCUACCCCCAGCCUUCGUGUCUUUGGGGGUCGGUUUCUAAUAACACAAGCACACACAGCACAUUCUGGGGUGAGUCAAAUGUGAAUUCCCCGUGACCCUCCCUCAGGCCCUGCCUCCCUCCCCCAAAGGGGACUGCCCCCAUCAGUGCAGGGACCACCCUUGUGGCUCUUUGAAGGGCAUCCACUUUCGUGGACACUGCAGAUGCAGAAAGAGUUCCGCAUCGGGGCGCCUGGGUGGCUCAGUCCGUUUCGGCUCAGGUCAUGAUCUCACAGUUCGUGAGUUCGAGCCCCGUCUCGGGCUCUGUGCUGACAGCUCAGAGCCUGGAGCCUGCUUCGGAUUCUGUGCCUCCCUCUCUCUCUCUGCCCCUCCCCUGCUCACGCUCUGUCUCUCUCUGUCUCUCAAUAACAAAUAAACGUUAAAAAAAAAAUUUAAAAAAAAAAAGAAAGUUCUGCAGGGAUUGGCAGUUUGUUUUUUAAUAUAAAUGGGACUCUACUGCUCGAGUCGCGCUGCAACCUGCUCUUUUCUCUUCGCGGCUGUCUGGGGCAGAUGUCCAUGUCUGAAUGGAGAGAUCACCCCCCCAGUUUGCUGCACUGCUCUAGAAUAUGCCAUAGUAUGCACGCUCUGGAGUUCACCUGCCCGUUCUCCUCACUGUCAAACACCUUCUAGGUUUCUAAUCUUCCAUUAUUCCACACAAGGCUGCCACAGGCUUGUGCUCAGCGCUCCCUGGGCUUGCGAGGCUGCGGGACACGCCGUUUCUGCGCAAGGUCGUUGGGAGCCGCUCUCAAGGCCACUCGAGUUCAGAUCCCCAGUGCAGUUCCCAGCUGUGUGGCCCGGGACGACUCACUGGCCCUCUCUGAGAACUCCCGGAGGAGCAGGUCCCAGGUAA